AGCAGGAUCAUUCUUGGAAGAAACCGCGCGCAGGGCCUAUUUUGUAACAAAAGUAGGUUCUGUCUGUGUGAGUAUUUCUUGCGAAGAGAUAAGAGGAUAUAUAUAUAUAUAUCGGGAAUCCUCCUAAGACGGCAGCAGCUAACCCCUGCUUGUCGAGUCUCCUCCUCACGGGUCCUGUGUCUCGUUCUCUCUUUCUUUUUCUUUCUCUUUCUUUCUUUCUUUUCGGAGAGGGAGAGGGGUAGAGAGAGACAGAGAGAGAGAGCUUUUGAGUAUCAGGCUCGUGGGCGGUUGGAACCCAUGGAGCGUGGAGGAUGUUGCUCCCCAACCGUAUGAAACAACGCUCAACGAUGGAUAUCUCGGCUUGGUGAUCGAUGAAGGACGCAGCAAAGUGCGACAAGUGUCAUGACUUGCAGAUACCCGAGAGCUGACAAAUUUCUGAAUGCAAAUUGCAGCCAAGUUAACCUGGCUAUGUAUUGCAGAGAGUACUUCGCUUAUGCGCUUCAUCCAGCAAUGUGUUCAUGGCGGACACGGUUGCCUGGGGCCAUGCGAUUGCGGAUCGAAGAACCUUCUCUUUCCAAUGCCAUUUCUCUCGUUGCGUGUACUUACAUACACGCAAACGAGAAAUUGUGCCCGCGAUCGUGAAAGUAAGAAAACUUCGAGUUUCCCGAAUCAUUUGUGACGCGCGCUUUGUGGUGUGUAUUUUUUACACAUUGCAAUUCCCCCAAUCACAUUUCUCACCUCUGCAAUGCAGGAGAACCCGCUGAACUUAAGCAUAUCAUUGAGCGGAGGACAAGAAAACAACUGUGAUUCCCUGAGUAACUGCGAGUGAAUAGGGAAGAGCCUAUGCUUGAAUCCGGUGUGGAUGGAAUCGGAAACACCGGAAUUGUAGUGCAAGGGUGUAGAGCGAGGUGCAUCAGUCGGAAGAAUCCGCUCAGGAACGAGCAACCAAUGAGGGCUAUCGUCCCGUAAUCUCCGACGCGGUGUGUCUCACAUGCUCUGCUCCCCAAGAGUCGGGCAGUUUGAGAAUGCUGUCCAAAACCGCAGGUGUACUCCUGCGAAGGCUAAAUAUUUCGCCAAGACCGAUAGCGAACAAGUAGUGUGAACGAAAGAUGAAAAGUACUUUGAAAAGAGAGUGAAAAGUCCUUGACAUUGUUGAGCGCCAAGGGGUAUGAGACCCAUGUAUGCUUUCUGCUUUUCAGUGGGAACUGUCAACGCGAGUUUCCGACUUCUGCAGGUUGCGAUCUUCUCCCACCCUAAAAAGUGGUAGAGACGUGGCUGUUGCAGAGAGUAUUGAGACUUGGCAGAGUCCAAGAGCCGGGAGUCGUUGAUUUUGGGCGUGCCUGCGUUGCCGAAGCAUUCUCUCUCGUUGGAGGGUCUUCACGGCGCAAGUGCGACCACCAGCGGUUCCGAGCUAGUGGAGUCGUUGACCAUUUAAUGGUCUCUUACCACCCGUCUGAAACACGGACCAAGGAGUCUACCGAAUGUGCGAGUGUUCUGGUGAUUGAAACCAAACGACGCACAAUGAAAGUGAAGCCUGUGAACCGCGACGGAGAUCGUCGUUGGCGCAACAGGGCUCGGUCCUGAUCACAUGAAAGGGAUCUGAAGUUGAGCACAUUCGCUGGGACCCGAAAGAUAGCGAGCUUUUCCUGGGCCGAAGGAAGCCAGGGGAAACCUUGGUGGACGUUCGAAUGCAGUGCUGACGUGCAAAUCGCUUUGUCAGAUCUGGUAAAGGGGCGAAAGACUCAUCGAGCUAUCUAGUAGCUGGUUCCCUC
rnacentral:misc_RNA from 1 species